rnacentral:lncRNA from 1 species
GUUGUUCAAAUACUUGAGGGGUUGUUGGAUGUGAACGUUCCCAGGAUACCGAGAGCCCUUCAACUGCUUCUUGAUAAUCAGGAGCAUGUAGUUUUCUUCACUGAGUCGUCGUCGUCGAACCAGAGUGCCCAGACAAAAAGUAAUACCUCAACUGCUUCCUUGCAGAAGCAAAAUAGUUCAUCUUCUACAAAGUCUCGAGUCCUGAGGAUGAUAAGAUAAAUGCUUAGUACAAGAAGUGCUUCAGUUAGUUAGUGCAUAUUCCCUUCUGCUUUUUCCGUAGUCUGGAAAGAAUCUCGGCAUUUGGGGAUUGGCUUUCUUGGGGCUUUUCCCCUAGCUUUUUUUUUCGUUACAUAUAGCUACAAGCAAGCUUCGAAUAAGUGCCAAGCCAGACCGGUUGUAAAGACCAUUCUAUAUAAUGAUAUGUUGUCUUCUUUUUUAGAUCCCAGGUGACAUCGGUAAUUAGCAUGGAAAACUGUCUUCUUCAUCUUCUGAUAAUUUUGGCACUUGAAUGGAGUAUUGGUAUCUCCUAGCUUGGAUUCCAGCGGGUGUCUCACAUGGUUCUCGAAUCUGCCUUCAUUGCAUGCAAAGCAGGCUAUAAGGCUCGGCAUUUCUCUUGCUACUUCGUUUAUUUAACGAGUCACGAUAUGAAAAUCGCCCUUAAAACUAUGACUUGCUAGGACCGG